rnacentral:lncRNA from 1 species
CUGGCCUGCCUGGGGACAGUGACACUGGAGAUGCGCGUUCAUGUGAAUUCUCCAUUUUGUUCUUUCAGUCUUUGAACGAAUACAACGUCGCCCGGUUGGAAUAUUAUCGCUAUUUUACGAGAAAAAUCGCAUAAAAAUUGAUUUUAAACAGCGUUUGACAUGCUUCGAAGUACGGUAAUGGAAUAUUUUGAAUUUUUUUGUCAUUGUGACCUGAAUACACGAACAAAACGGAGCUAUUUCAAUAUAACUAUGGAUUAUUUCGAACCAAAACAACAUUUGUUGUUGAAGUAGAAGUCCUGGGAGUGCAUUCUGACGAAAAACAGCAAAGGAUUUGGACCUGUUCCCGGGAAAGCAGUAUGUCGGACGCGUCGGACUCGUUAAAGGGGGAAAAAAACUUCUGCCAGUUUGUGAGAAUUUGGCAGUACGUCCAACCGGCCUCACAACCGCAGACCAUGUGUAACCACGCCAGCCCAGGAC